UCCAGCAUGCCGCGUGAGUGAAGAAGGCCUUCGGGUUGUAAAGCUCUUUUGUCAGGGAAGAAACGGUAGANGCUAAUAUCNNUUGCUAAUGACGGUACCUGAAGAAUAAGCACCGGCUAACUACGUGCCAGCAGCCGCGGUAAUACGUAGGGUGCAAGCGUUAAUCGGAAUUACUGGGCGUAAAGCGUGCGCAGGCGGUUUUGUAAGUCUGUCGUGAAAGCCCCGGGCUCAACCUGGGAAUUGCGAUGGAGACUGCAAGGCU
rnacentral:rRNA from 1 species